UAUGCUGGGGCUGAUUGAAUUUAAGUCUGCCGCUCUGCACUUUACCUGGCGCUGUAGCCUAUUAACGUAGAGGGCGAGGGAAUAAAAGGGGGCCGUGUCCCUCUCUUGUCCUCUCACUUCCUGGCUCGAAGGCCCUCCCGCUUCCCGGCCUUCCGCUUCCUCCUUUGUACUCGAGACGGGUAGGUGCACGGCUGCAUUGUUUGCAAGUUGUUUCUUUUAGCUCUUAUUAGCCUCUGCAUUGAACUGUUUAACUUUGUGCGUAGUGGUCCAUUGUGGUUAAGGGGAUGGUGGCGAUUCUCCCUGUUUGCCAAAGACAUUAAAAGGACAAGCUGAUCCCGAACGCAUCACGCACCACAGACGCUCCAGUGAAGUACGGAGCGGUGCCGAGGCUCCUCGUCACUGUCCUCCUCGGAAGGGUUCCUGUUGUUCGGGACCCGUGGCUAACGGUGGAUAUAAAUUGCUGCGAGCCGACGGUGGUGGCGGUGUCC